GCCGGGAUCGCCUAGCCCGGUAGGGCGCAAGCCUGGAAUUUGUCAAACCGGCCAGCUUGUGACCCGUGAGGGUCCCGAGGGUUCAAAUCCCUCUCCCGGCG
rnacentral:tRNA from 1 species